AGUAACACGUGGAUUAUCUGCCCCAAUGACCGGGACAACUCGAGGAAACUCGAGCUAAUACCGGAUGUGCUCUUCGGAGGAAAGGAAGCUUCGGCCUCCGCAUUGGGAUGAGUCCGCGGCGCAUUAGCUAGUUGGUGGGGUAAAAGCCUACCAAGGCGACGAUGCGUAGCUGGUCUGAGAGGACGAUCAGCCACACUGGAACUGAGACACGGUCCAG
rnacentral:rRNA from 1 species